GAGACUUCUUGCCCUGUGGUUGAACAUGCUCAUCUGACAAUAAUCCGUCUCCUGGUCUAGCGCCCCUUACCAGCGGAGGCUCAUCCCCCACUCCCCGCCUCCUCGUCUGCUUUGCUCUUUCUCUGCCCACCUGGCCUAUUUCUGGAGUCACCGUUUGAGAGCCCUGAUAACAGUUAAACUUGCCCGCUUUGGGUGUAGCUAUUGACGGUCUGCGUCUUUUCUCCACGUGAAUUGUAAACCCGGCCCUGGUCUGCCAGUGCCUGGACAAGGUCACCAUGUUUCCUACUGAGGGAUGUCUACGCCAGAGGGACGCGGCUGCCGAGGAGCUGGACGGAGCGGGUCCGCCCUGGACACGCGCGGCUGGGCAGCUCCCAGGGUGAUAUCUGUGGCUAUGCAAGAACUCAGGAGCGCAUCACCACAUACCCCAUCGGAGGAAUUUUGAAGGAUGCAUCUUCCUUAUCUGAAAGGAAUUUGAAGAAGAGAGGAAAUCGAGACCUCCUUCCUCUGGCAUCGAGAUGCCUCAGAAAUACAGUGGACUUCUGAUCUGUUUGUUCCCGCUCAGUCCCAUGUAUCAGGAACCACGUGUGAAGUCCGUGCCAGAGGUUCCCAAACAUAAAGCAGAUCCAGACCCGGGAAAGGGAAAAGCUUUACACUGGAAGAGAGUUUGAAAUUUUCAUGCUACUCUGGGUGGAUUUUUUUUCUAUUGUGUUGAAAAUGAAAUUUAAGAUUUAUAAUCUGAGAGUGACCCACAUUUCAUCUGGGGGUGGGGAAGAACGAGUUGAGAGAAUAGGUAAAAAAUAAAUUAAAUUGCUUUCCGCCUGCAUCCUACUAAGUUCAGCUCUUUCAAUAAACUGGUUAUAAGUGAUGUCUGUUUCUCUGAUUCAGUGGAAGCAGCUAUCCUGACAGCUCAGUGUGAGCUAACAAAACAAUAGAAAAAGUGUUUUUGCUGGUAAAUUAAGCAUUGCCAUGUUUAAUUUUAUUAGUUUUCCACUUGACCAUGCAUUGAAAGAUACACCUAUAUGAAUGAACAUUACUCAUUAUUAUCUGUUAUAAUAGCUGACCAUCUUAUUUUAUUUAUAUUGAGGAGAAAGAAAUAUUAGUUAUGAACUUCGAGUUUGGAAAUUUUCGUGAAAAAUUCUAAGUCCCCUCCCCCUCCCCCCUACUACCCCAAGUCUAAUUCCUAGAUGCUGUGUUCCUUUCUAGCUCCUUCGGGCUGAAAGCUUAUGUUGAAACAAGUGCUUUGUGUCAACUUCCCUUCAGCUUCUGGGUAGUCUCUUGUUUCACAGGAUCCACGUUCGUCUGUUCCUUCCUCAACCCUUCAUCUCAUCAGGAAGGCAGGAACCCCGAGGUCAUGCCCAGAUAUAGCCCUAUGGUGUCCCACUUUCUUAGAAUGAGAAUUAAGACAGUAAUAGCAGCAAGAGGACAAACUGGAACAGGCUCUGAGCACUCACGCACACACAAGAAAAGGAGCGAAAAUAGCUGUAGUUCAUGAAUGUGAAACACUCGAAUGCCCAAUAUCAAAAUGGAAGCCAACAGUUUAUGAGUCUCAGCUUUACCCUAAAUAUUUUUAUACCACAAAAAGACACCUUCAAAUUAACUGAGAUGCCAUUUAUCCAGAAGGUAAAAUUAAAAUCUAAAUUUCUUUGGAUUAAUAAUAAUAUAUUACAUUAUUGAGUAUUUACUAUGUGCCAAGUAUUGUUCAAGGCGCUAUGUACAGUCUAACUCAUUCUAUCCUUAUGACACACUGUGCUAGACAAGAACUUUCCUUACCUCCAUUUUACAGAUAAGAAACUGAGGAAUUGAGAGGACAAGAAAAUUGUUUCAAGUUUCACUGCUCAGAAGUGGUAGCGUCUUGGUUUAAAACAGGGCAGGCUGGCUUCCCAGCCAUGGUGUCAAUCCUGGUAUUAACGGCUACUGCUUGGUGAGUUCCACAGUGCAAGACUCAGGGGCAUGUGCUUCACCUUGACCAUGUACUUCAACCGUCACAACAGCUUCAAGAUCGCGUUCUCAAUUAACACAGGAAGGUACAGAAGCUCAGAGGUUAAGAAACUUGCCAAGUCUGCGUUUAUAAUCUGAUUCCCAAAUCACUCUUCCUUAACCUUUGAGUGACCAUAUAAUAUUGUCUCAAGUCCAGGGUACUUUUAAGAGUGAAAAGAGACAUUCUUAACAAUUGAUGGCAUGGCCAGCACAAACCAGGACUCUCUUGGGCACUCUGCGAUGCAUGAUUGCCCUCCACCCUUCUGAACUUGAGCAGCUGAUGACAUUCUGAUAUUGCACCUGAAGUGAAUUUGCUCACCCGUUGUGCAGCAAGCCAAUCUCUGACACUGGGUAUAGUGGAAGAAAGUAGGAAUUUUAUUAUUGCACAGAGCUGAAUAAGGAGAUAGGACAGCUAAUACUGAAAUCCCAAACUCCCUGAAAAGCUAAAAGGAAGGGUUUUUAUUUGGAGUUUUAGGUAGAGGAGGGGGAGCACAUGGCCUUGCUGGUUGGAGCUUUCCCACCAGCCUGUCUUUGGCCUUGAGACACUUGCAGAGAGGAGGGAGCCUGUGACCUUGCUGCUCAGCAGCUUUCCCACCAGCCUGUGUCUCCUUGUUGGGGAGGAGAUCACGAAUCCAGGUGCUUAUCCUUGGCUGUGUCUGUCUCCAUGGAGGAUAGUGGAUUGUGGAGCCAGGAAGCCAGGGAGCAGGCAGGGAAUGAGUGCUUUGGUUUUAACCCCAUAUAUGCAGGGUUUAAUGUAGAGAAACUGAUAUCAGGGCCAGUAUCAAUUUGACCCCAAAUCUUUGAAGAGUUCCUCAAAAUGACCAAAGAAAGAAGUGUUUCCCCAGAGUUUUGUGAACUGGAAUCACCCAUCUCCUUCCCUCUCCCUCCAUGUUUAUUUCCUCUUUGGAAACCCUGUUUGGUCAACUUCCUCUCCUCUACUUCAAGUCUUUUGAAAAAAAAAGACCACCAUUAGAUCUUAUAAAUGUAUUUUCUUCACAUGUGAAAUGAUGGAUUAUUGACUCCUUGGAGAAAAUAACAUCCUUUCAGCUAACAAAACAGAGCUGAACAAAACAGGAGGAGAGCACAGAGAGGGCCACUAAUUUAAAGAGAAAUUUAUAGGUCUCCUGAUGUCAUGAGUAAGAAAGACUUUGCUGUCUGCAGGGAAAAGGAAACAGUGCUGGAGACUAGGUAUGCACAGAGUCUCCUCUGGCAUUAAAACCAGGCAGACGCCCAGUCUCAGCCCAGACCUAUUACAUCCAAGCUUUAGAGGCUGGACUCUUCAGUGUUUGCAUCUUUGAGAACCUCACCAAUGAUUCUGAUUCACGGUCAGGGGGAACAAAUCAAUAUGAAAUCCCCUGACGACAACAGACCUUUCCAGUAGAACCGUGGAGUAUGCACAUCAGUCUUCAUCCUGUACCAUCAAGUCACCAAGCAGCCGACCCUGGGUUUCUCAACAUAUUGUAGGCAGAACUUGUUUUGGUUGCUUUUCUAACCUUUUCUGAGAUUCUAAUCAAACCUCAUCUUUCCGACCUGGUUACAUUUGUUGCCAUCUUUUUCACGGUUCCUUUCUCUUAUUUUCCUCCACUUCCUCAUUCUCUGCAUCUUCAAAUACAUACAAGCAUACAUAAAUACAUAGAUGUAUACAUCAAUUCAGGUAAAUGUAUGUAUUUGUAUGUAUGUAUUUACCUGAAUUAUUUUGAGAUUUAAAAAUAAAUAUCUCUUUUUCUUUUUCAUAAAAAAAUCAUUCUGUGUUGAUUUUACUUAUUUUCAGGAUUAGGAAAGACCUCUUGAAAUCAACUUUGAUCUUUACUUAAAUUGUAGAUGAGAAAUCCAGGAAAAACAAUUUUGAAGAAAUCCCAUGCAUUAAUAUGCUUUUAAUCACAGAGCUAUUGUGUUUUGUUUCCCACUGAUUUUUUAAAAAUAUUUUUUCUCUUUUUGGUGAGGAAGAUUGGCCCUGAGGUAACAUCUGUGCCAAUUGUCCUCUAUUCUGUAUGUGGUAUGCCACCACAGCAUGACUUGAUGAUCGGUGUGUAGGUCCACACCCAGGAUCUGAACAUAUGAACCCUGGGCUGCGGAAGCGGAGCACAUGAACUUAACCACUAUGCCGCUGGGCUGGCCCAUUUCCCAUAUAUGUUUUUCCGAACAAGCCAUUAUGGAAAUUUAAAAAUAUACUGCAGAGUUGGAAGAAUUUUGAACUAAACACCCAUGGACCCCCCACCUUGCGCUACCACACAUCUAUCCAUCUGUGAUGCCUCCCGUGGAUCGACUAAUCCAUCUUAUUUUUCAGGUAUUUCACAGUGUAUUUGUACAUUGAUUCAAAUAAAUUAUAUUGCUGUUACUAAUGUUGAUGGUGACAAAAUACUUCAACUGCAUAUUGUCGUUCAGUCAACCAGUCUUCGUUCAAAAUCACUCCAUGGGAAGAGAGAGCACAGGUCAGACUCCAUUUUGGGGGAAAUAAAAGUGUUAUCUUUUGCUGGUAAGGAGAUUUAAGGGUUGGUAUUACAUUUCUAUGUAAUGUAAUGUGUAUUUUUAUUCUAACAUUUAAUUGCUGUUAUAACAUAAUUCAAAGCCUUUGACAAAAAAAUGUUUAAUCAAUGAUUGCUACUUGCCCAGUGUCGUUUACGAUAACAUGCCAAUGGAAGCAGGUCUGUGGGGAUUAACGUGCACCUGAUUUUUGUCCUUAGACCCUUCAAUGUUGAAAAUACAAGGAACAGUUUUCAUAAAACAGGGCUUUUUGUGUGGUUGUUAUUUGAGGACGCUAUAGAAUGGUUCUCUCCUCCACUGAAUAUCCACCACACCUGCCUGAAGUCCCAUCAUGGUUCAUGGCCUUUUGGGAGAUCCUGUAAAAAUGCCAAGAGUCUUCACUGUCAGCCUCUGUUUUCCUUAUUCCUCUGGACUAUCUGACCAAUUAGGGAGACCAAUAGAUACACCCCACCAAUAGGCGGAAGUCAGAAUUAGUCUUGCUGCCGUAGGCUUGGGGUUUUGGUGUCUUGGACACAUUCGGGUUCACCUGGGUGCCCCCUAACUCAGCCUCUUGCCAGCCCCCGUGGACUUAGUGUCCACGGGGGCUGGACUCUCCGACCGAUUUUCUGCUUAGUGCUCCAGUUCCCUGAAUCCCAAGUUACCUCGAUGAUGUGGGGGAGGGGUGUACUGACUCCUACCUAUCCCUUGCCUCUUCCUCUGUGUCAGCUGGCCAAACCGUGGGUCUCAUACUCCCAGUUCACACUGGGGAUGCGACUUCUUGUAGUUGUGUCACUGGAAACCAGGGUCCACAUACUGGUAUGAACCUGAGGACAGCUUGUGUUUGGACUGCCUUCCAUCCUGCACCCACUGGAUUCCAGUCCCACGAGUGUAAGUAGGGAUGCUGGUUUGAGUGGAGCAUGAGCUUGGGACAGUGGAGCUCUGCCCCUUUGGGGUCCAUUCCUUAGACCACAACCUGAACGGCCUUCCUUCCUCCCUUCCCCGCCAAUCCAUGUGAGCCUCCAGACGAGUCAAUCUGGUUGGCACACCCAGAGUAUUUAAGAACACGGAUGCUACAGUCAACAGUCCUGGGUUCAGAUUUCAGCCACUUAUCAACUGUGACAUUAUGCCCAUCCCUUAACCUCCUUAAAUUUCAGUUUUUUCAUCUGGAAAGGAGCUUGCCAUAGCACCUUCCUCAUCGCAUGUUUAUGCCUUGUUACUAAGACAAAUGCCUGAGAAGUCCCUAAUAUGUUAUGGUAACUAGUAAGUUCAAGAAAUGGAAGCUUCAAACAAAAGUUAAAAUUGCCAGUAUUAUUCCAGACGCUCGAAGCCACUUCUAAAAUAAAAUGAGUUCUAAAUAAAUAAAUAACUUAAAGUGUAUUUUUAUUCAUUAAUAUGUUUUGACCCUUUGCUACCCAAACCUUAUUCAGACACCUGACAAAGUCCUGUGAGAAUGGCACCUGGGAGGAUUAUGGACUAUGAAAAUGGAAUAAGUUCCUUUUAUUUCUUCCUUGUUCUCUUCCCUCUACAAUUCACUAACCAUUUGCUCAAACUUUUAGUCAUUUAUUUGUUCAGCCAAAAAUAUUUUGUACGGGGCGCUGUCCCAGGUGGGCAUGGAGGCUGACAGGUAUGCUAAGGAGCUGGAUUUUCUACAGGUGACUGGGAGUCAUUAAAGAACUUGAUCAUGGAGAGAUUGUCUUCGUAUUUGCAUAUUUACAUAUUAAGAGGGCCACUCCCACUCAUGUGACAAUGUGGAGGACGGAUUUGUAGGGCCAGGGACCCACAACAGGGAGACCACUGGGCCUCAUGGGUAAUAGCACAGACGUGCUGGUUCACGCCUUUGUGCCUUUGCACUUCCCAUGGUCUUUCCCCACACUCUCCUCCUCCAGGAAGCUUUCCCAGACUCUUUCAUAAACUGAGUGGUCCUGCCCUGUGUUCCACAGGAUUCUGUACUUACCCUAAUCUUAGCAUUUACUAGAAAAUACCAAAAUGAUCAAUUUUCCUGUUUGUCUUCCUCACCAGAUUAUAAGCUUUGAGAGUGAGACCUGCAUCUUAUUCGUCAUUGUAUCCCUAAGGCCCGUCUCAUCCUAGAUGCUCACUAGAUGUUUAGUUAAUAACUAAAUAGGCUGGGCUGGUAGAUGAAGGCUACACUGCAUGUCUGUCCUCAAGGAGGUCAUGGGUUAAUAGAAAAAGAGACACAACAAUAAAUUAUUACAAGUACAAUAACUGAGUUACUGAAUGAAUAACUGGGUGGGGGAGAAAUUCGGGAAGGAUUCCCAAAGGAAGUCAGUCUCUUUGCAUCUAGAAGGCGAAGAGCAGUAUAUUAAGCGGACACUUCACACAGAAGGAAGAGCAGGUACAAAGAACAGGUGAACGAAGACGGACUGGCCAGCGGCUGGUCUGGAGCUGGGAGCGAGGGAGCCCGUGAUGCCUUCGGGCGUCAAAAUCAGGGCUGCUCUGUCCAACACUGUCUCUGGAUUCCACCUCCAAGGACAGGCAGCUCCGUGUGUUUCAGAUAAAGUCCCUGGGGGCCCAGAGCCUUAAAGGGGCUCAACCUGUAGGUGGCCAGCCCCGUUGUUGGAAAGGGGCUGGGCCAUGGGAAGCAGAGAGGACCACUGCUGGCUCAGCUGCUCCGAACUCCCGGCAGGGCUCAGGGCUCCCUGGUCCGCAGUCCCGGAAAUCUGCUUAGUUUUUUGAAAUUGAGUCCAGGCCUCUAGCAUCGCUCCUGUUCUCUGUCUUCUCAAAGCUUUACGGCAGUGGUUUCCUGUGUGAUUUCUCUCAGAACUCUUGGGUGGGAUUCGUCUCUGAUUGGCAUCUUCAACUCAUUGAAAGCUGUCACAGGCACUCACGCUUUCUUCUAGUAGCUUGAUUAUAUUUUUACUUUUUAAAUGAAUUGCAUUCAGUACUCUUCUUGUCUUGCUUUCUUAUUGCUUUGGUGCAUUGAUUGGCUUUCUGACAGUACACGCCUGGGUGGCCAAGCAUGACUUUACUUUCAGAGCAACACUGACCGUUGCUGUAACUGGGGUUAAUGUUCCCUCUUAACAGAUCAUUUCGCGGGAAAAACAAGUUGACACGAUACGGUGAAUAAAGAAGGGAUGGAGGAAACAGAAACUGAGAAGUGGGAAAGGCAUUUUUAAUUUAUGAAAAUAGGAACUAUCUCUUUUUGUUUAAAAAACAUCUACAUUUGGGGCCUGGCCUGGUGGUGCAGCGGUUCAGUUCAUGCGUUUCGCUUCAGCGGCCCGGCGUUCACUAGUUCAGAUCCCGGGUGCGCACCUGUGCACCGCUUGGCAAGCCAUGCUGUGGUGGGCAUCCCACGUGUAGGGUGGAGGAAGAUGGGCACGGAUGUUAGCUCAGGGCCAGCCUUCCUCAGCAAAGAGAGGAGGCCUGGCAGUAGUUAGCUCAGGGAUAAUCUUCCUCAAAAAAACACAAAUCUAUAUUUGGAUGUAUUAUGGACUUCAAAAUCAUCAUAAACAUGUUUAUCCUAUAUUUUCAAAUCUGAGCAGCAAAGACAGAAACAAAAUAUGAAUUGAGCCUUUCUCCUUCAGACUGCCACAGGUUCUCACGACAUCCCCACCAAGGGGGCAAACUUACCUUUCUUCUAUUUCUUCGGAUGAACGUGGCAUAAAUAAAUACCCUCAUGAUGGAUCUCUCGGCCCCUCUGCAGUUCCAGCACACCCCUGCACCCCAUCCUCUCUCUCCCUCCUUCUUGUUCUUCUCUUUCUCCUUUUCUCUCUGUCAUCAGUUGUUUUGCUCAUCAAAGUGCUUGCAUGGGUUUGCUUUAGCAUCAUGUACUAGUCAGGGUUCUCCAGAGAAACAGAACCAACAAGAGAUACAUUAUGAAAAGAUGUAUUACGGAGGAUUGGUCCCGCAGUUACAGAAGCUGAGAAGUCGCAGGUGUGCUGUCUGCAAGCUCGAGCCCCGGGAAGGCUGGUGGUAUAGUUCCGGGCCGGGUCUGAAGGCCUGAGACCCAGGGGAGCUGACGGAAGAAACCCCAGCACAGGGGCAGAAGAUCAGUGUCCCAGCUCCAGCAGACAGGCAGGAAGCAAAGGGGUGAAUUUCUCCUUCCUCUGCCUCUUUGCUCUGUUCAUGUCCUCAAGGAGUGAGGCCCUCACACUGGGGAGGGUCAUCUACUUCACCAAGUCCACGGAUUCAAACGCUAACCUCAUCCAGAAACACCCCCAUAGACACACCCAGAAAUGAUGUUCCAUCUGGGCACCUCUUGGCCCAGUCAAGUUGACAAGCAAAAUUAACUAUCACAUACAGUCAGGAUGAGAUGGGUUGAAAAGAGAACUUGGAAUACAAGGGCUUUUUAAAGGACCAAUGUGUGAAGAUAAAGAGGCUCAAACUCCACUGUUAAAACAGCCUUUGGUUCCAAUAUCCGCCACUGGGUGUCGCUAAGUAAUCUAAUUAAACACCCAAUUUACGACUCCAACAAAUGAGUUGAUGUUGAGCUGAAUGAGGCAGAAAUAAAAAUUAAGGUCAUGUGGCCUAAAUAAAAUCCUGUAGAUUGUCUGCAACAGCUAUUUCAAACCAGCAGGAUGAGUUCCUGGAAUAUGAAUUGGAAAGUUCAUGAAUUAACAAGAGCACAUGAAGGGGCUUGGUCUUCAUUGGGGAAAACAAAUAAAUCCUUUAUAGUUUACGUGUCUUUCCUUUUUCCUCUCCUAUUAAAUUGGACAUCCUGCUGGGUGCAUUUUCAUGAGCAUCACCGCAUUUUAUGUGGUCUAAACAUAUCGGCUGGGCUGUCAGCAUCUGCUGAGGCAACUCCCCUCCUCCGAUCCUCCAUCAGUUCGUACACUGUAUUGUCAACUUUUUUAAAGAUGGCUUUUGAGGGUCCUGACCUGACCUACCCAAAAAGCAAGCUCGAUAAGCACAAGACCCGUCCUUCGGAAUGUCUCUGGGCGAGCUCCCGUUCUUCCUUCAAGACUCAGAUCAAGUGCUCUCUAGUCUGUAAGACUUGAUCUUCCACAGCUCCUCCCCUCCCCUCGUCCCCGUAGCCCAGCUGUGUGUUCUUCCAUGAGGCGCGUUUCACCUUGCCUGGUAGUGAAUUGUUCACGUAGUCGCCUUCUCCACAGACUGUGAGCGCCCUAAGGACAGGCACCUGUUCAGAGAAGCCAUUGCCCCACAAAACUUAAUGCUGCUGCCCCUAGCGGCUGGCUCGUCCACUGAAGUCCUGUACAACAAGUCAGUAGGCAGUUACUGAUCCCCCAGCACUUUGCUAGACUUUUGCUAGCUGGAGGUAAACCGGUUGUGUGUGUUCUGUGUUUUAUAAAUCUGUGUCCUUAGAGAGAAUAAUUAAGGGCUCACCAAAUUGAUGCAGAAAGGGGUUUUCGUUUUUUUGGAUGGUGUCUUCAAAUAUUUGUAAAAGGAGUAGCUCAUUCUUUGUCCACUGCCAAUCCAUUUAAAAACACUUACACAGUGGACGAGAGGGGACUGUAUUUAUAAGAGACACUAAAUCAAUAUUUAACUUAAGGGGAAGUUUUUAAGCAAAUUGCUUCACUUCUCCUUCCUAAGAAAAACAACUUGAGAUUAGGAAAUACCUUUUCUUAAAGAGGUUAAUGGCCUUGCAAGUUCAAAUAAAUAUUUUAACAUGCUAC
ensembl:lncRNA